rnacentral:misc_RNA from 1 species
CCGGUGCUGCCGUCGGUUACGGCGGAGGAUCAGGAGGGAGCGCUGGCGGCGGCGGCGGAUGUCUGCGGGUUUCUGGUUGGUAGCUCACCGAUGCGGCUGGGGAAGGUGCUUGCGGAGGUUGGGCGGGUGUUGCCGGGGCAUGAGUUUGCUUCGGUUAGAGCAGGAGUUGAGAUGGCACUAAUUGAUGCAGUUGCUAAUAGCAUCUGUGUACCUCUUUGGAGACUAUUUGGAGGGGUGGCAAAUACGAUUACAACAGACAUAACAAUUCCAAUUGUGUCUCCAAAUGAAGCUGGUGAUUUGGCUGCAAAAUAUUAUAAACGAGGGUUUAGCACUUUGAAGCUUAAGGUGGGGAAAAACCU